rnacentral:rRNA from 1 species
GACGUAGGGCGCGAGCGUUGUCCGGAUUUAUUGGACGUAAAGAGCUCGUAGGCGGUCUGUCGCGUCGGUCGUGAAAACUUGGGGCUUAACCCUGAGCUUGCGGUCGAUACGGGCAUGACUGGAGUUCGGUAGGGGAGACUGGAAUUCCUGGUGUAGCGGUGAAAUGCGCAGAUAUCAGGAGGAACACCGGUGGCGAAGGCGGGUCUCUGGGCCGAUACUGACGCUGAGGAGCGAAAGCGUGGGGAGCGAACAGG